rnacentral:lncRNA from 1 species
CGACGUCCUGGGGAAACUCCCCGCCAUUCUCCACCUCGCCCUCCCUCUUCCCGAUCCGGCGCCUAGCUUCGCCGUCCAUCGACGCUGAAGAAAGGAACUCCAAUCUUCAGGUAUGUUGUUAGAUUUUACAACCUUGUGUUAUUUUGUGAGUUUGGUUGUAAUCCAUCGUCCCCUUUAUGCUGAUUUUGUGAGAUGUAGCUAAUUCUAGCUUGAAAAAAAAAAGAUGCAGCAAUAUCUCUCUGUAUUGUACCAGGCGUAGGAAAUUAAUCACUGAAAUAUAUGCUAUAUUUUACUCGGAUUAGUAUUCGAGCAAUUAGGUGUUCCUAAUUGUUCAUUGCCUCAUUGCAUAGAAAUUGCUCAAACACUAUACAAUUUCAGCAACUCAUUGCCUGUACAUGAGUACAGACUAAUUUCAGUGGUAUUGUACAAUUUCAGCAACUCAUUGCUGAAAUUAACAAUUUGCCAGUACAGUGCUGUACUGAUUACUCCAAUUAGGUGAUGAGUACAGACUAAUUUCAUCUACCUGUUCAAGUAUCUGGAGAUGAAGUGCUUGUUGGCAAGAUCGAGAUUCAUAUGCCCGUGCAAUGUGUAUGACUUCACCAAUUUCUGAGAGUUCACUUUCUAUUGGUUUAGUAUAUUCCAUUCGACUAAGCUGGUGUUGUUUUGGUUUACUGAAUUAACUAUCUUAGCUCUUUAGCACCAUUUUCACAACACUCUUGUUGCUUAGUACAUAUAUGUGCCCAGUGCAGUCAGAUAUUUCUCUCUUCACCACUUUGCCAUGGAAUUGUUGUUUUUUAGACUACAAUGUGCUGCAGCUAUCACACGAAGCUAACUCUUAGGAGCAAAGUAAAGUUCAAUAAUUUGAAUCCUUUGUUGGAACGACAUAAUUUAAAUAGUAUAUCUUUUGUCAGGUUUUCACAAUACACUUUUCUUCUUGUUUGCAGAGCAAGUAGCGUCCGAGAAGGGUCACCAUCAAUCAGUACAUUAUUCUAGUUACCUUCUAAUUUGAUAAAGGUCGUAUGCCCCUUCGUAUGCUCUUGAUGGUUGGUAAGCACCGUGAAGUGCCUCUCCUUAUCAGCAACAAUUGAGACCAGGAAGAUUCAUCGCCAGAUUUGAGACCAGGAAGAUUCAUUGCCAGAUUUGACUCUUGUGCAUCUCUGUCGUAACUAUCUAAGUUCCUAGUAUGUGCUUACCUCGAUGGCCCGUGUGCUUCCUUGCUUCAGAACAAUAUGGAGCAAUUACCUAACGUCGUGCUUAUAUUUUGUAAAACUAGAAGUGCUCUGGUUGAAUGUGGCACUAUGUAACUAUGUGUUACUGGACAUGUUCACUAAUUCUGUUAUUAAGUGAAACCUGGACCUAUAUAUUUGCUACCAGUGAUGUUCCAUCUUAAUGCCUGCUAUGCUAAAG